rnacentral:lncRNA from 1 species
CUGGUUUUCCUCUUCAAUCUACAUAUCGUAAUCGAGAAACCUUCUCUUUGGCUUCUCAUACCUUCAGCUGUUGGACAGGAAUGGCAGAGCUUCAACUCUGCUCUUCACAAAGAUUUGCCCCUUUUAAAAGAAAGGGAAAGGGAAACCUCUGCAGAAGAAGGUGUGUGAUGCUGCUUAGGCUCUGAAAUGAGCAGAAAGCUGCUGUACAGAGGAAAGUGGAAACAAGCCUUUUGUCAAAGUGCAUUUCUGAGUGUAAAUGUAAACCUGAGCAGCUUUCCCAGCCUCUGUGUAGUACUACGUUAAGGGCUUCUGUUUCAGACUGGUAGAAGGGCUGAUCUCCUGUAGUUGUCAUAUAGUUGUUAUCAUAGAAUCCUAGAAUCAUUAAGGAAAAGACCUCCAAGAUCAUCCGGUCCAACCGUCACCGUACUACCAAUGUCACCCACUAAACCAUGUCCCUAAGCACCACAUCCAACCUUCCCUUGAACACCCCCAGGGACGGUGACUCCACUGCUUCCCUGGGCAAGCCGUUCCAAUGCCUGACCACUCUUUCUGAGAAGAAAUUUCUCCUAAUUUCCAACCUGAAAUUGUGUUCCUUAUAAAUCUGUUGCAUUUCCAGUAUCUCAUGAAAUAACUAUUUUGAUAAUGUCACUGAAACUGGGUCACUGAAGAGACCUGCCAGGGAAAACGGCUUGAGCAGGCCUUUUAUUUCCUCGUACGCUAUGUGAUGCAGUGUCAAAGGGUGAACUUGCUCCCCAGUUUUGACCACGAUCAAUUUGUGCACUGCUGUAUAAAGAUGUUUACCUCUCCUUGUAAUUCUUUCUAUAUACAAAGUUAAAUGCUUCCUCUAAUUAAGCUUCUGUUAUCGUUCAAAAGCUGGGGUCUAAUUUUUUUUUUUCCUUCUCGGGAAUGGAGUGGAUGCCCAGGUCUGAGAGCUGUGGUCAGACCAGUCUCGUAGGACAGGAUCCAACAGAAUCGGACAAACCAAAGGGUCCUUCCAGCCCUGUGUUCCUGAAACACAUAAUCAUUAAAUUGGUCCACCAGGAGCAAAGCGAAGGAUGAGCCCGGAGCAAUAUGUGCCUGUGCAGAGGAUCAGACAAAUGAACAGCAAUAAGCAUUAAUAGAGAAAUUGUUAAUAUCAAUACGCUACUUUCCUGGGGAGAGUGUUGAUGGGAUCUAAAGCCAGGCAAAAUGAUACAUGAAUGUUUAGUCUCAGGUGGCAUCUUUUGCAGAUAAAUUUGGAUUAAGCUGCAAUAAAUUCAUGGUCCUGCCUGUUAAAGCUGUCA